rnacentral:rRNA from 1 species
CCUGGUUGAUCCUGCCAGUAGUCAUAUGCUUGUCUCAAAGAUUAAGCCAUGCAUGUCUAAGUAUAAAUGGUAUACAAUGAAACUGCGAAUGGCUCAUUAAAACAGUUAUAGUUUAUUUGGUAAUCAAACUUACAUGGAUAACCGUGGUAAUUCUAGAGCUAAUACAUGCUGUUGUGCCCGACUCACGAAGGGCCGUAUUUAUUAGAUACCAGCCAAUAAGCAUCUGCUAUUGUGGUGACUCAUAGUAACUUAAUCGGAUCGCAUGGGCUUGUCCCGCGACAAACCAUUCAAGUUUCUGCCCCAUCAUGCUUUCGAUGGUAGUGUAUUGGACUACCAUGGCUUUCACGGGUAACGGAGGAUUAGGGUUCGAUUCCGGAGAGGGAGCCUGAGAAACGGCUACCACUUCCACGGAAGGCAGCAGGCGCGUAAAUUACCCAAUCCUGAUUCAGGGAGGUAGUGACAAGAAAUAACAACUCGGGGGCCUUUCUGGUCUUACGAGAUUGCAAUGAGGACAAUUUAAAUCACUUAGCGAGGAACAAUUGGAGGGCAAGUCUGGUGCCAGCAGCCGCGGUAAUUCCAGCUCCAAUAGCGUAUAUUAAAGUUGUUGCAGUUAAAAAGCUCGUAGUUGGAUUUCUGGUGGGAGCGGUCGGUGCGGUCCUCAGGAUUGCUACUCGUACCGUCUCUCGCCAUCCUUGGGUCGAUCCUGUCUGGCAUUAAGUUGUCGGGCAGGGGAUGCCCAUCGUUUACUGUGAAAAAAUUAGAGUGUUCAAAGCAGGCUUAUGCCGUUGAAUAUAUUAGCAUGGAAUAAUAAGAUAGGACCUUGGUACUAUUUUGUUGGUUUGCGCACCAAGGUAAUGAUUAAUAGGGGUUGGGGGUAUUCGUAUUCCAUUGUCAGAGGUGAAAUUCUUGGAUUUAUGGAAGACGAACUACUGCGAAAGCAUUUACCAAGGAUGUUUUCAUUAAUCAAGAACGAAAGUUAGGGGAUCGAAGAUGAUUAGAUACCAUCGUAGUCUUAACCAUAAACUAUGCCGACAAGGGAUUGGCGGAGUUUCGUUUUGUCUCCGUCAGCACCUUAUGAGAAAUCACAAGUCUUUGGGUUCCGGGGGGAGUAUGGUCGCAAGGCUGAAACUUAAAGAAAUUGACGGAAGGGCACCACCAGGAGUGGAGCCUGCGGCUUAAUUUGAC